UACGUAGGGUCCGAGCGUUGUCCGGAAUUAUUGGGCGUAAAGGGCUCGUAGGCGGUUUGUCGCGUCGGGAGUGAAAACACCGGGCUUAACUCGGUGCUUGCUUUCGAUACGGGCAGACUAGAGGUAUGCAGGGGAGAACGGAAUUCCUGGUGUAGCGGUGAAAUGCGCAGAUAUCAGGAGGAACACCGGUGGCGAAGGCGGUUCUCUGGGCAUUACCUGACGCUGAGGAGCGAAAGCGUGGGGAGCGAACAGG
rnacentral:rRNA from 1 species